rnacentral:rRNA from 1 species
GACGAACGCUGGCGGCGUGCUUAACACAUGCAAGUCGAACGAUGAAGCUGGAGCUUGCUCCGGUGGAUUAGUGGCGAACGGGUGAGUAACACGUGAGAAAUCUGCCCCUGACUCUGGGAUAACUGCGGGAAACUGUAGCUAAUACCGGAUACUUUCCCUGGUGGGCAUCCACCGGGGAAGAAAGAAUUUCGGUCAGGGAGGAUCUCGCGGCCUAUCAGCUAGUUGGUGAGGUAACGGCUCACCAAGGCGACGACGGGUAACCGGCCUGAGAGGGUGACCGGUCACACUGGGACUGAGACACGGCCCAGACUCCUACGGGAGGCAGCAGUGGGGAAUAUUGCACAAUGGGCGCAAGCCUGAUGCAGCAACGCCGCGUGAGGGAUGAAGGCCUUCGGGUUGUAAACCUCUUUUAGCAGGGAAGAAGCGAAAGUGACGGUACCUGCAGAAAAAGCACCGGCUAACUCCGU